AAGUAAUGAAGUAAUAAUUACAUUUAGUUUCGACCUAAAAUUAGAGCGUAAACUCCUUACUUA
rnacentral:tRNA from 1 species